rnacentral:piRNA from 1 species
UAGGCCUACUGGGUGCUAGAAACUGUCAC